AAAAGACCGCAAGCAACCGGUCAAGCGCGGCUUCCGCGCUUGACUUGCUGUUCAGGAAUGU
rnacentral:sRNA from 1 species